rnacentral:rRNA from 1 species
GACGAACGCUGGCGGCGUGCCUAAUACAUGCAAGUCGAACGCUGAAGAGAGGAGCUUGCUCUUCUUGGAUGAGUUGCGAACGGGUGAGUAACGCGUAGGUAACCUGCCUGGUAGCGGGGGAUAACUAUUGGAAACGAUAGCUAAUACCGCAUAAAAUGGAUUAUCGCAUGAUAAUCCAUUGAAAGGUGCAAAUGCAUCACUACCAGAUGGACCUGCGUUGUAUUAGCUAGUUGGUGGGGUAACGGCUCACCAAGGCGACGAUACAUAGCCGACCUGAGAGGGUGAUCGGCCACACUGGGACUGAGACACGGCCCAGACUCCUACGGGAGGCAGCAGUAGGGAAUCUUCGGCAAUGGACGGAAGUCUGACCGAGCAACGCCGCGUGAGUGAAGAAGGUUUUCGGAUCGUAAAGAUCUGUUGUAAGAGAAGAACGAGUGUGAGAGUGGAAAGUUCACACUGUGACGGUAGCUUACCAGAAAGGGACGGCUAACUACGUG